rnacentral:ncRNA from 2 species
CUCUUAUCACGAGAAGGCUGAGGGAAUUGGACCGAUGACGCCCGGCAACCGGCUUUAUUAAAAGCAAUGGUGCUACUUCCAACAGAAUGAAUGAAUUCUGACAGAUAAGAG